rnacentral:rRNA from 1 species
UAUCAAGCUACUAAGGGCUUACGGUGGAUGCCUUGGUGCCAGGAGUCGACGAAGGGCGUGACAGGCUGCGAUAAGCUUCGGGGAGUCGCUUAAUAGACUUUGAUCCGGAGAUUCCCGAAUCGGGCAACCGAGCAGGUUAAUCCCUGCUACUCGUGUUUACACG